UACGUAGGGACCAAGCGUUGUUCGGAUUUACUGGGCGUAAAGGGCGCGUAGGCGGCAAUUCAAGUCAUCUGUGAAAUCUCCGGGCUUAACUCGGAACGGUCAGAUGAUACUGCUUUGCUAGAGUGCGGAAGGGGCAAUCGGAAUUCUCGGUGUAGCGGUGAAAUGCGCAGAUAUCGGGAGGAACACCAGUAGCGAAGGCGGCUCGCUGGGCCAUUCCUGACGCUGAGACGCGAAAGCUAGGGGAGCGAACAGG
rnacentral:rRNA from 1 species